GGGCGCUUAGCUCAGCUGGGAGAGCGUCUGCCUUACAAGCAGAAUGUCAGCGGUUCGAGCCCGUUAGCGCCCA
rnacentral:tRNA from 1 species